rnacentral:lncRNA from 1 species
UGCCAACCACUGCACAGCUCGCUGGAGUAAGUUCAGAGAGAACUGCACACAUUCAAAGAGCUCUGGGACUUCUUUCUCUUAGCAAUUAGAGCUUUUGAACAAAGAAAACUUCUGCUUAGAUGCAAUGAUGAAUUUAAUACCCCUGCCCACACUCCUCAGCUGAAUCUGGGGACAUUGUGAGCAGCUCCUAGUUACCUUUCCUAGAUUAUAGAGAAUAUUCCUGAACACCUGCAGGCUUCAAGAUGCAGUAAAAAUAAAGAUGACUCUAAUACAAUGGUAUGGAACUUAAUUUUCUUCAAAUAGUCCUUAGAACACUUAUUUUAAUA